rnacentral:rRNA from 1 species
CCCUUAGAUGUUCUGGGCCGCACGCGCGCUACACUGAUGCAUUCAACGAGCCUAUCCUUGACCGACAGGUCCGGGUAAUCUUUGAAUCUGCAUCGUGACGGGGAUAGAUUAUUGCAAUUAUUAAUCUUCAACGAGGAAUGCCUAGUAGGCGCAAGUCAUCAGCUUGCGUCGAUUACGUCCCUGCCCUUUGUACACACCGCCCGUCGCUCCUACCGAUUGGGUGGUCCGGUGAGGCUUUGGGAUCUGAGCGGAAAGAGCGUUUCGCUGUUUCUGCUCGGAAAACUCAGUCGAACCUUAUCAUUUAGAGGAAGGAGAAGUCGUAACA